GUGUCAGCCGCCGCGGUAAUACGAAGGGGGCUAGCGUUGCUCGGAAUGACUGGGCGUAAAGGGCGCGUAGGCGGUGUACACAGUCAGAUGUGAAAUUCCCGGGCUCAACCUGGGGGCUGCAUUUGAUACAUGUACGCUUGAGUUCGGAAGAGGGUCGUGGAAUUCCCAGUGUAGAGGUGAAAUUCGUAGAUAUUGGGAAGAACACCGGUGGCGAAGGCGGCGACCUGGUCCGACACUGACGCUGAGGCGCGAAAGCGUGGGGAGCAAACAGGAUUAGAUACCCUCGUAGUCC
rnacentral:rRNA from 1 species